rnacentral:misc_RNA from 1 species
AUUCAACCGGUAAUGAUGGCUUCCCACAGAACUAUAGAUUUUAUGUUCUGCUUUAUUUAUAAAUUUGAUUGUUUGUACUUCAAAAUGCUUUUUCAUUGUUAUGGUUUAGAUUGAUCAAAUAAGACACCUAUUUCAUUGCUGCUACUGUAUUUGGGUCAAAUGUUUUAAUUUUCUGAAGUGGAUUUCUUCUUCAGGAGCUGACAUUAGGAGUGUAUGUACUGAAGCUGGUAUGUUUGCAAUUAGAGCACGAAGGAAGACAGUAACAG